rnacentral:lncRNA from 1 species
CCAUUAAACAAUAACUCUUCAUUCCCUCCUUUUCCCAAACCCCAAUAACCUUUAUUUUACUUUCUAUCUUUGUGAAUUUGCCUUUUCUAGGUACCUCAUAUAAGGGGAGUCAUACAAUAUUUGAGUCUGGCUUAUUUCAGUGUUUUCAAGGUUCAUUCGUGUUAUAACAUGUGUCAGAAUUAAUUCCUUUUUAAGGCUGAAUAACAUUCCAUUGUAUGCACCCGCCACCACGCCUGGCCAAUUUUUUGUAUUUCUAGUAGAGAUGGCGUUUCACUGU